rnacentral:rRNA from 1 species
UACGGAGGUGGCAAGCGUUGUUCGGAAUUACUGGGCGUAAAGGGCUCGUAGGCGGCCAACUAAGUCAGACGUGAAAUCCCUCAGCUUAACUGGGGAACUGCGUCUGAUACUGGAUGGCUUGGAUUUGGGAGAGGGAUGCGGAAUUCCAGGUGUAGCGGUGAAAUGCGUAGAUAUCUGGAGGAACACCGGUGGCGAAGGCGGCAUCCUGGACCAAUAUUGACGCUGAGGAGCGAAAGCCAGGGGAGCAAACGGG